UUCUUUAAGAAGCACUAUAAAAUACUGUCUUACUGUACAAGCAUUGUUUAUUAUGUAAUUGCCCAUUUGUUAAUUGUAAAAACUGCAAUGUUUACUAAAUCCAAAAUCUCUUAUGCUGUUAUCUAAUGAAGGUGUUUGUCAUACCCAAAUGCCACGUGCAUAGGGUCGACCAUCUGCAGGUCAAACACACUUUUAAAUGAAACUCCAUUUGUAGUGAAUAUAUAUGUACAGGCAUCUUUCUUUAUUUUAGAUUUCAUUUUCAUGUGUGUGAGUGUUUUGCUUGCAUGUAUUUUUGUGCAUUAUGUGCAUGCCCAAUGCAAAAUUUCCCUGGAACUGGAGUUACAGACCGUGGUUAGCUGCCAUGUGGAUACUGGAAAUCCAACCUGGGUCUUCUGGAAAAGCAGCCGGUGCUCUUAAAUGCUGAGCCAUCUCUCCAGCCCUCAGACAUUUUCCUUGCCAUUCUCUAACCAAUGUAUAAAAUUAUUUAUAUGUCAUUUACCUUAUAUUUAAUAUAAAUCAUUAUAAAGGUAUUUUAAUUGGGGAAUGCAGUUUUAUAGAGAGACUUGUGUGUGCACUAGUAUCUGAGGGGGUUAAGAAUCAAUCCCCCAUAAAAGCAGAGGGACUCUGCUACAAGGAAUCCAGAGCCAGGGGAGAAAAACUAAACUUGAUCUUGCUCUUGGGUAUAAAUUGGUUAAUGUUCCCAGAAGGAAAACCUUGUUUCCAGGGACAGAAGUCCAGUGUCUCUAAGGUUCUGCUGCACAGUUGGAAUUCCUUCCUGUUAGGUCUCAAACCCAGUUCAAAGGGCUAAAACUAAGGUGCCUAUUUAACAUAUCAAAGCACACCUGGCUGCCAGGUUCUCCCAGCAUCCCUCAGUCCCUACCUACCUGGUAUGGCUGGCACACCCCACCUCCUACCCUGAACCUCUCCAGCCCAGGGGCUGGGUUGCCCUUGCUUAUAUGACCCAGCCAUCUUGGUUACUUGGCCAUUUACUCUCUUUGCCAUUCGUCCUGGCCACCUUAUUUGGCAGCUUCUCUCUUGCCCUCCUUCCUGCCUCUCUUCUCAUGGUCUGGUUUAGUCAGUUGUCCAUGAUCAGCCUGGACUAUUCCCUCUGCCUGUUUCCCCCUGAAAUCUACAAUAAAAAUAUUAUCCAUACUUUUGGAGUAGUUAUGUUCUCCUCUUAUUUCAUUUUUUUCAUUCACUUACUUCACACAUGGUUACUGUUUCCACCCUCAUGUAGAAUCGGGCUUUAGCAGAAGUCCCCAAGUUAACGUUUUAGCCUGUGUUUCACCUGAACCCUCAGCAGCCUUUGGCAUUGAUGAGUAUCCUAUCUUGUAAUGUUUGUCUGUUGCUUGCCUUCUCAAGUCCCCCCACCCGCCCCCCUCCCCGUGCCCAUCUGGCCAUUUAUAUUCUCAUCCAUCUUAGCCUCCUCUGCUGGCCUCCUUUAUUGGUGUUCCCUCACAUUUUCACUCUGAAAUGCACCCCUCAAAUAUCCAUGACCUACAUGCUAAUGACUUCUAAUCUGUUAAUGCCUCAGGGAGAGAUGGGGUUUGGAGAGCACCUCCCCAUCUGUGCCUAGAUUUGGCUGGAUUCAUCUUGUGCAGGCAAACACUAGAUGCUGUGAGUUCAUGGGUUCUGAAACCUUGUCAAUAUUCUGUAGCAGUUUCCUCCAAGACUAUAAUCUCCCACCUUGCAGUGAAUCUCCUUAAGACAUCAGGUAAACAAUUCAAAACAGCUUCAGGAAGUCCCUGAAACUGAACACAUUCAGUAGGCCCUUUCUUCACAAGAGUGAACACUCCAAGUAGCCUAGAGUGACUCUCUGACAAAGCAUGCUGCAAAGAAGAUUCUGGGACCAGACUGGCUGCUUGGAAGAGAUUUACACCAACUGAGUCACCUGGAAAAGACACUCUAACUCCUCAUCUAUACUCCCGUAGUGAGAGAACAAGAGUGAUUCCCAGGUCACCCAUGGGCAGUCCAUGAAGAUGAGACUCAAGACAAGUGGGCUGGAUCUAGAGUUUGCUGGUUGGAGACUGUGAGAUCAGCCCCUGGGGAACUGUACUUCAUCUGCAUUCUUAUGGCCAGUUGACUUCCUUUGGCCAAUGGAAGAAGUCCUUUCAGAAUAGAAGCAUUAAACUCUGGAAGCUCCACUUUCCACUCCUGGUUUUCCUUUGCCCGGUGAUUUUCAACACUAUGUGGUGAGAUACUGUGACAUCGUAUGAUAGGCGGUGCAAGAGGAACCUUGAAAUAUUUAUCUACUCAGAUAGUGGAGCUCUUUCUCAUUUCAUCUGAACUUAACCUGUCUUCCUGAUAUAAUAGAAGGUCUUAUAGUAAGGAUGUAUUUUUGGUGAAUACAGUGAGAG